UACGGGGGGGGGCAAGCGUUGUUCGGAAUUACUGGGCGUAAAGGGCUCGUAGGUGGCCAACUAAGUCAUACGUGAAAUCCCUCAGCUUAACUGGGGAACUGCGUCUGAUACUGGUUGGCUUGAGUUUGGGAGAGGGACGCGGAAUUCCAGGUGUAGCGGUGAAAUGCGUAGAUAUCUGGAGGAACACCGGUGGCGAAGGCGGCGUCCUGGACCAAUACUGACACUGAGGAGCGAAAGCCAGGGGAGCAAACGGG
rnacentral:rRNA from 1 species